UUUGGUACGGUACAAAUGCAAAUCUUUUGUGAAGGCAGGCAACAAAUCAGCUUUUGAUGAGCUAUGAGAUUGACUCCUACUUAAUGCUUAUGAUGUUGAGGUGUUCUGAUAACUUCAGCUGAUUCCUCAAUAUUAUAAAUUCCUGGUGGCAUCAUCAUGGCUUAGCUGGAGCAGAAUGGUAAAAACGAUGUCGGUGUUAGAACAGAAUAGACUGGUUUCAGCUGGAAGAGACCUACAAUGAUCACCUAGUCAAAUUAAUCAAAAAGGAUUCAGAAACUCACUCUUUCCUCCUUGUGGCUCACACUACAAGCUGGAAGAGGAAAAUGCUGUUGCUGCUGCUGCCCCACAGUUCUGUGCAGGAGAGGACAGGUUGAGGUUCUCCAUGCGAGCCCCACUGCUCAUGUUUGCAUCAGGCAAGUAUUGCAUAUUACCUCACUUCUUGCUUUUAAGCAGUUUCUGCCCAGCAGUCAGAUUGCAAGUCGCUUUUCUGAGUGCCUGGAUUGUGCUGC